GGCGGUUCUCGGGUGACACACCCCGGAAUCGGGCUCCCUCCUCUCUGGUUUCGAGAGGAGGGAGCCCGAGAACCACA
rfam:Myotis lucifugus cont2.20783, whole genome shotgun sequence.